GAACCCUUACACGUGUCAUCAGCAAAUGGGUGAAAAAAAUAAAAAACGCGUCCUUGCAAUACUUAACUAAAUGAAGGACUCGUUUUUGCGCCAAACAUUCAUCUUCUUCUUCUCUUUCCUGUGUUCAUUCAAGUCAAAGAAAUUCUUCAUCUCUCAAUUACUCCAAGUCAGAGGUAGAUUCUUGCCCCCAAACAACGAAAUUCAGAGCAAUUAGUCCACAUUCUCAAGGAACCAUGUCUGGAUUAGCUGGAGAAAACCUCGUGUUCUGCCUUGAGGAAUUGAUGUGCGUGUUCGUGUUCCCCAAGCUUCCCUAUGAGGAUCAGAAGGUUUGUUGUCAGACUUGCCAUCAUUGGAGGAGGUUGUGACAUUGGCAGAACGAUAUUAUGAAGCAGCAACAGUAGGAUGAAGUUGGUACUUUGGAUUGGUUUUUGGUGGAUUGAUUGCUGGUAGCAUCAGCAACCUUGAUAGUUUGUUUUUGAUGAAUUAGUUUAGGUUGCAACAGUUAGUUGUGAGAUUGCAGAUUUGUAGUUGCAUCAGUUAGUUGUAGUUGUUGUUGGUAGUUGUAGGAGGUAGUUGUUUUGGAUGUCAAAGUUCGGGUGACAUUGUGAAGGUCAUUUGUGACACAAUGUCAUAGGUUUGACAUUAUUAAACAUUAGAUUGUACUUUGAUGAUUAUUAAUGAAAUAUGUCGGUUAUUAUUAUCUAAA